rnacentral:rRNA from 1 species
CGGACGGGUGAGUAAUACUUAGGAAUCUGCCCAUUAGUGGGGGACAACUAGAAGAAAUUCUAGCUAAUACCGCAUACGCCCUACGGGGGAAAGCGGGGGAUCUUCGGACCUCGCGCUAAUGGAUGAGCCUAAGUCGGAUUAGCUUGUUGGUGAGGUAAUGGCUCACCAAGGCGACGAUCCGUAGCUGGUCUGAGAGGACGAUCAGCCACACUGGGACUGAGACACGGCCUAG